AUUGAACGCUGGCGGCAGGCCUAACACAUGCAAGUCGAACGAGUGGCGGACGGGUGAGUAGUGUAUGGACACCUGCCUGAUGGAGGGGGAUGACGACUGGAAACGGUAGCUAAUACCGCAUACCAUGCUAUGGGGCCUGGUUGGAUUAGCUAGUUGGUGGGGUAACGGCUGACCAAGGCGACGAUCCCUACCUGGUCUGAGAGGAUGACCGGCCACACUGGAACUGAGACACGGUCCAGACUCCUACGGGAGGCAGCAGUGGGGAAUAUUGCACAAUGGGCGAAAGCCUGAUGCAGCCAUGCCGCGUGUAUGAAGAAGGCCUUCGGGUUGUAAAGCACUUUCAGCGGGGAGGCGUUACCCGCAGAAGAAGCACCGGCUAACUCCGUGCCAGCAGCCGCGGUAAUAC
rnacentral:rRNA from 1 species